GCCAACGUGGAUGUUUGGAGGCACUGGCGGCCGUUUGGGAUGAAAUAGCGCUCUGUUUCCUUGGUUACAGGUGUUUGUCUUGGCUCUUUUCCGGAAAUCAACAGGCUCCUCUUGGAGCUUGAUGUACACACCUGUGUGUGAUAGACCAGGGUUCUCGGCCUUCCCCAAUCAAUAGAAAUUGGAGACGUUUGUUCAGGUGCAAGCAUUGCAGCACUGCAGGAAAUGGUCCCAGGUCCCAGUCUGUCUCAUGUGUGUACCUGGACUCAGAUAUUCAGGGACCAGUUGUUAUUCAUCUGGGAAUUCUCCAGGAUGCUAGAAAGGUUGGUGGCAUGGAGUAAUACUGACUUUGGUAGACUGGAAAAUGGCCCCGCAAAUAUUUUCAUGCCAUAAUUCUCAGUUUUAUGCCUGUUUACAUUACAU